UGAAAUUCCAUCCUACCCCUUGACAAUCUUUAUCAACUUAAAUCACUGAAGUAAGAAAUAAGAGGAAAUAUAUAUGAGGGCUAGAUUCAAAAAACUAAUGGCAAAGAAAUGGUCUUCCUCCUCAUUGAAGUAUGUACCUUCAGGUGCAAAUCACCAAAACUGCAUGAGGAAGUUGUUGUUCCCUUCCUCAGGAGGUGUGAAUUUAAUCCUUUAAUCCAAAUUAGUGUCCUAGCUACCAACAGCACCUUCAGGCUUGAAGGAAUACCUAUAUUUGGAGGCACGUCAAUUAAUUUGCAUAUCAGAUUCAUCAUUGUGACUUCUUGCAGGCCAGAUCUGAGAAGUAACCAGGAAAGCUGACCCUUAGUGGAGAAUGGAAAAAACAUUGAAGUCAGAGCACAACUGAUCACUAGUGUAACCUGCAUUGAAUCAUCUUUCUCAGAUCUGACAGCUACAAGCUGACUCCUGGCAAAAGCCACAGCCUUAAAUUCCAUUUAGUGAGAAAGAAGGAUAAGACAGCUCAAUGUCUCGCCCUGUUGCAGAAACUGCUGUCUCCAAGCCUGACACCUGAGUUCUGUGCUGAGCAGCCAGAGUACCAAACAACCAGUUUUUUAUGGGUACAGCCAGCAUCAACAAAUAUUUCAAUAUAUAGCCAAAAGGAGAAACAAAGCACUUACAUAAUUUCAGAAAAUGGAUACGUUUAUUGUAACAGAGGAAUGUUACUGUCUGUGGGGAAGAAGACCUCUGUCACCCCUUGUACAUAUUCAAAGCCAUACAGGAGCAGGGCAUAAGUGAAGCCCAGUCACUUAAAAGGAUGGUGUCUCCUGUCCUUCACCCAACUUUGAGGAAGUUCCGCUCUUAGAGAUUGCAUCUCAAUGCACUUCUAUUAUUUGCACUGUCACUUCCAUUCAGGGUAAUGAUGUGUGCCACCAUUUGCACAGAUGGCCCCAGGAGAUUUUUGACCACAACAAGCUAUACUUUGCCAGGGCUCCAAAAGGAAUUAAAAAGUUAAAACUGAAGAAAGACAUUUAUGCUCUCUUUCACUAUGGGGAUCUCUUCACAGAAAGGACUAUGGUUCUUUCUUAGGAUGAAAUAAAUACAUGCAUAUACAUACA
rnacentral:lncRNA from 1 species